UACGUAGGGGGCAAGCGUUGUCCGGAUUUAUUGGGCGUAAAGAGCGUGUAGGCGGCUAUACAGGUCCGCUGUGAAAACUCGAGGCUCAACCUCGAGACGUCGGUGGAAACCGUAUGGCUAGAGUCCGGAAGAGGAGAGUGGAAUUCCUGGUGUAGCGGUGAAAUGCGCAGAUAUCAGGAAGAACACCCGUGGCGAAGGCGGCUCUCUGGGACGGUACUGACGCUGAGAUGCGAAAGCGUGGGGAGCGAACAGG
rnacentral:rRNA from 1 species